AGGGAAGAACAUUACAAGAAGUAUCCCUGAGGAACUGACAAAGUUAUCCGCAUUGGUCGACUUAAAACUCGAUGGUAACUCAUUUUCUGGUGAGAUCCCUGAUUUCAUUGGAUGCAGAAAUCUGCAGUAUAUUCACCUUGAAAACAAUCAGUUAACUGGUGAAUUGCCAUCCUCAUUGGGGGAUCUUCCUAACCUCAA